CAGCCGUAAACUAUGCGCGUUAGGUGUACUGGUGACCACGAGUCACCGGGGUGCCGAAGGGAAACCGUGAAACGUGCCGCCUGGGAAGUACGGUCGCAAGGCUGAAACUUAAAGGAAUUGGCGGGGGGAGGCACCACAACGGGUGGGAGCCUGCGGUUUAAUUGGACUCAACGCCGGAAAUCUCACCGGAUAGGACAGACAUAUGAUAGUCGGGCUGAAGACUCUACUUGAUGAUCCGAGAGGAGGUGCAUGGCGUCAGUGACU
rnacentral:rRNA from 1 species